ensembl:lncRNA
AAGACUGCUCAAAAUCUCCUCAGAGCUCAGAACUUCAGUUGGAAACCCUGGCCUGAGAAUUCCAACAGAUUUUUAUCUCUCAUUCUAAACUGGUUUAAGAUCAUUUGACAGAAUUUUUCUCUCCUGCCACUUAACUUAUCAGAAAACUAUUCCAAAUCCUAUUCAAUAAUAUUCCCAAUAAUCUACAUGUAAAAAUAAAAUUUAAAUCACAUUUUAAAAAAGAAUUAUUGAGAAGGGAAGAAUGUCUUUGCCAGGAACACCCCAUGGUCAGCAUGGUCCAUAGCAUCAUGAAGAGCUGGAUAUGACUUAAUGACUGAACAAAGGCUGAAUAGUUGCAUUGAUCCUAUGGAUCCUGGUAUCACAUUGAGCUGUGUUAGGAAACCUAUGGAAUUCAUGCAGGAGGGAGCUGUUUCCUUUCACCUCUCCACAAGAGACUGAGAACAUUUCUCACAUCCACCCCUCUGUACAGCAGCCCAAUGGAAGAGCUUCCCUCAUCCACUGUCUGGGGGUGUGAAGGUAUAAAAUGUGAAGUAGAUAUAUACUACUGCUUAUUAUACAUGGCAAGUUGUAUGGCAAGAUUUUUGUGUGUAGAGAAACCACAUGAAACCACUAACAAAUGUUGGCUCUCUUGUCCGGAGAGUAUUGAGUGUGCAAAGGUAGAGUGUUACUAUGCUGAGGAGCACAACAAUAGCUACCACAGUUUAUGUGCUGCUGGAUGGACUUGCAAAACCUUCCUAUUGAAUAUUAAUGGUUGCGAAGAAAAUGGAUACCAGCAUGGAGCUAUCUGUGAAGAUGGAAUUAAUGAAUACAGGUGUGGGUGUCUUCAAGGAGGUGAUGGAUUCUUCUGCGGAAUAAAGACAAAUAUGUGUGUGUCUGAGACCUGUAAAAAUGGAUCUACCUACAUGUGUUUAAAUGACCAUGUCUUCUGGCAGUGUGACACUGGAUUUAUAGGUCUUUCCAGUUCACAUGAAAAUACUUCAGUGCAUCAUCCCUUUCAUCACAAUAGAAUUCCAUCAUCAUCAGGUAAUGGAAUCCUGGCAUAA